UGCCAGCAGCCGCGGUAAGACGAGAGACCCGAGCGUUAAUCGGAAUCACUGGGCUUAAAGGGUGCGCAGGCGGAUCGGAAAGCAUCUUGUGAAAUACCACGGCUCAACCGUGGAAUUGCGGGGUGAACUGCCGGUCUUGAGGCAGGUAGAGGUCGUCGGAACGUUCGGUGGAGCGGUGAAAUGCGUAGAUAUCGAACGGAACGCCAAAGGAGAAGUCAGACGACUGGGCCUUACCUGACGCUGAGGCACGAAAGCGUGGGGAGCGAACGGGAUUAGAUA
rnacentral:rRNA from 1 species